CAGCCGCCGCGGUAAUACGUAGGGAGCGAGCGUUGUCCGUAAUUACUGGGCGUAAAGAGUUCGUAGGCGGUUUGUCGCGUCGUUCGUGAAAACUUGGGGCUUAACUCCAAGCGUGCGGGCGAUACGGGCAGACUUGAGUACUACAGGGGAGACUGGAAUUCCUGGUGUAGCGGUGAAAUGCGCAGAUAUCAGGAGGAACACCGGUGGCGAAGGCGGGUCUCUGGGUAGUAACUGACGCUGAGGAACGAAAGCGUGGGUAGCGAACAGGAUUAGAUACCCGUGUAGUCCCUGUCUCUUAUAU
rnacentral:rRNA from 1 species